rnacentral:lncRNA from 1 species
CUGGGCUCCGUGGGUCCAGGAUCUGUGGGUCUGGGCUCCAUAGCUCUGGAAGUUGUGCGUCUAGGAUCCGUGGGUCUCGAGGUUGUGGGUCUGGGUUCUGUGGGUCUNGUCCAGGAUCUGUGGGUCUGGGCUCCAUAGCUCUGGAAGUUGUGCGUCUAGGAUCCGUGGGUCUCGAGGUUGUGGGUCUGGGUUCUGUGGGUCUCAAGGUUGUGGGUCUGGGAUCUGUGGGUCUGGAGGUCGUGGGUCCGGGAUCUGUGGGUCUGUGCUCCAUGACUCUGGAGCUUGUGGGUCCAGGCUCCGUGGCUCUCGAGGUUGUGGGUCCGGGCUCUGCCCCCCAGCGCCCCCCAUUCCGUCCCCGCCAUGGCCGCGCUCACGUCCCGUGCCUCGGCCGCCAUCUGUGCCAUGGCAGCGGCGGCUCCGCGCU